rnacentral:rRNA from 1 species
CGGGGUGAGUAAUGUCUGGGAAACUGCCUGAUGGAGGGGGAUAACUGCUGGAAACGGUAGCUAAUACCGCAUAACGUCGCAAGACCGAAGAGGGGGACCUUCGGGCCUCUUGCCAUCGGAUGUGCCCAGAUGGGAUUAGCUAGUAGGUGGGGUAACGGCUCACCUAGGCGACGAUCCCUAGCUGGUCUGAGAGGAUGGCCAGCCACACUGGAACUGAGACACGGUCCAG